AGUGAAGUCUGAGAGAGUAUAAGUGUGUAUAACUGAGGAAAUUCAGGAAGAGAAAGUUAAGUAACCUGACCAAGAUCAGAGAGUGAAGAAGCCUGGGCACUUACAGGGAAUCUAAGAACUGCCAGGGAUGGAAUCACAUCCUCCGCGCUUAGCUUUGAAAGACUGUUAACAUUGCAGCAUGAUGCCAUGUCCAACAAGCAGAACAGCGGGGAAAAUUAAGAGUAGCUUGUAAGGGUACCUCAGAGUAGUCUCACAGAGUGCCACCAACUGUCCCAGGGAGCACAGAAAGCAAUCUAGGACCCACUGAAACCAUCCCAGAGAUGAGGUGCAGAAGUCACAUGUGGAGGCCUGAGGUUGGGACAAGAAGGCCACAGAGAGCAGAAACCUCACAAAGGGCAUUGUGUGGGCACAGUCAGCACUGAGCCCCAGCACAAGGCUCAAACCAUGCAGAAGGCACCAGCCACACCUCAAGGGACAACAAAGGAUGCCCAGAAGAGGCAGGAUUCAGAACAGAGACCCCUUUUGCUACAACCACAAAGUGCUCCUAGGCUCAGAUGCCUUGUGGGAGACAAGGAGAUCCUGAAGAGAAGAACCCUGAGAGACCAGAGGCAGCUCUGAAGGGAGAUGGAGCUUUGAAUUGACUAAAUAUUUUCAAGAUUUUUUAAAUUAAAAGUGAUACACGGGA
rnacentral:lncRNA from 1 species